rnacentral:rRNA from 1 species
GAUGAACGCUGGCGGCGUGCCUAAUACAUGCGAGUCGAGCGAACAGACGAGGAGCUUGCUCCUUUGACGUUAGCGGCGGACGGGUGAGUAACACGUAGGUAACCUACCUAUAAGACUGGGAUAACUUCGGGAAACCGGAGCUAAUACCGGAUAAUAUUUCGAACCGCAUGGUUCGAUAGUGAAAGAUGGCUUUGCUAUCACUUAUAGAUGGACCUGCGCCGUAUUAGCUAGUUGGUAAGGUAACGGCUUACCAAGGCAACGAUACGUAGCCGACCUGAGAGGGUGAUCGGCCACACUGGAACUGAGACACGGUCCAGACUCCUACGGGAGGCAGCAGUGGGGAAUCUUCCGCAAUGGGCGAAAGCCUGACGGAGCAACGCCGCGUGAGUGAUGAAGGUCUUCGGAUCGUAAAACUCUGUUAUUAGGGAAGAACAAACGUGUAAGUAACUGUGCACGUCUUGACGGUACCUAAUCAGAAAGCCACGGCUAACUACGUG